UUAAAUCCAAAAAGUCUUAUUACUCUAAGUUUGAAUGAGGAAAGGAUAAUUAUGUCCAAAAAUUUCAAUAGAAUAAGUUCAAAAUUUCAAGGAUUUUUACAAAAAAUAAAGUUCUAUCUAAGGUUGCAUUUUUCUCAAUACUCUAAUGGAUUUACUCAAGUUGAAUUUACAAGUGCAUUUUUUUCUAGAAGUAAUUUGUCUUGAAUUAUAUCUUUGGUAGAAAAAAAAUUAUAUCUUUUCUGUGAUCUAAAUUCAUUCUUAGAAAAGUUUAUGGCCUCUUUUGAAGAAAGUGAUUGAAAAAUGAUAGUAGAGACCAAAUUUGUAUCUUU
rnacentral:lncRNA from 1 species